CUUUUCCAGAAUGUGGUCUACCCCCAUGCCUUCCCCUGGCCUUCCAGACCAUUCCUCUACCCUGUAGUUCCAUCCCAGGUCAUAAGCUCCCAGUUUCCACGCAUCGCCACAGAAUGUUAUGACUUAAACAAUUUCUAGUAACUUAACCUGAGCUUAUAACAUCUUAUUACUUCCUUCCAGAGCCUCAGUUGGCUGUGCUGUGGGUUGAGGGCUGCGGCUAGCAGCGCAAGCUGGAGAGAGCGCAAAUCCUUUCAAGCUCAUCUUCUCUGACCUCUGCUCUCUCUGCUCUGCGGUACUUUGAUCUGCAGGAGAUGCACACUCCUUCCCAUGCGAGCAGGCAGGCUGCCAAGCAAUACAGUUUUAAAUUCCUCGGCAAACAAAUAAACAAAAGAUACCCUUGAAAAUCCUGCUCUGCAAAAUCUCAGCUCUGAAGCUUCCUUUUUAUAGAGUUUUCCAAAGCAGCUUAUUUUUUGAACAUUUGUAGUAUUUGGAAAUACCCGCAGCCAUCUUCACUUCGAACUAUACCAUCUGGCCGCUUGACAACUGUAAUUACUCUGCGUCCGGACGAGCCGGCACUCUCAAAAGAAAAUAAAAGGCGAAAGCGGGCUCCUUGCUGAAGUUUACGGGACAUUUGCACGUUGCUUGAGAGCUUCUCAAACAAAGAUUUCACACUCACAGAUAAGGAAAGGGGAGUAUGUAGGCUGUUGCCAAGCAAAGACCAUCUACACAGACCAGUGUAGCAGGCCCAGCAUGAAGAGACACCACCCAGGCUCACUGCUCACCGCCGCCCUCCACCAAGCUACUAGAAGGCGGGAUGUGGGGUGUGGUACUCCUGGGUCAGGAACACAGCCUGACAGGAGGGCUACGUGUGGACCCAACGUACUUCUCAGAGGCAUUUGAACUAGCCAGAAAAGGACAGUAAGUAUCCGAGGGCACUCCUUCUCUAUUUUCCUCCAAAAGCCAAUUAUCUCUUGCUUAUUCAUUUGAAAACUUUGUUGAAAAAGAGUAUCUGUCUGACUUCCCAUCAGUUUGAGACUUGGGUGUAGAGGAGCCCCAGGAAAUUAGAAA
rnacentral:lncRNA from 1 species